UACGAAGGGGCUAGCGUUGUUCGGAAUCACUGGGCGUAAAGGGCGCGUAGGCGGCUUUAUAAGUCGGGGGUGAAAGCCUGUGGCUCAACCACAGAAUUGCCUUCGAUACUGUAUGGCUUGAGACCGGAAGAGGUAAGUGGAACUGCGAGUGUAGAGGUGAAAUUCGUAGAUAUUCGCAAGAACACCAGUGGCGAAGGCGGCUUACUGGUCCGGUUCUGACGCUGAGGCGCGAAAGCGUGGGGAGCAAACAGG
rnacentral:rRNA from 1 species